rnacentral:rRNA from 1 species
CACCGCGGUUAUACGAGAGGCCCUAGUUGAUGGACACGGCGUAAAGGGUGGUUAAGGUUCAAAGUAAAUAAAGCCAAAAGACCUCUUGGCUGUCAUACGCCCCUGAGUGUCCGAAGCCCACACACGAAGGUAGCUUUAAUAUUAGUCCACCUGACCCCACGAAAGCUGAGAAACAAACUGGGAUUAGAUACCCCACUAUGCUCAGCCAUAAACUUAGGCGUUAUUUCACAAUAAACGUCCGCCAGGGUACUACGAGCAUUAGCUUAAAACCCAAAGGACUUGGCGGUGCCUUAGACCCCCCUAGAGGAGCCUGUUCUAGAACCGAUAACCCCCGUUAAACCUCACCACUUCUAGUCAUCCCCGCCUAUAUACCGCCGUCGUCAGCUUACCCUGUGAAGGACCAAUAGUAAGCAAAGUGAAUACAAUUCAAAACGUCAGGUCGAGGUGUAGCGAACGAAGUGGGAAGAAAUGGGCUACAUUUUCUUUAACAAGAAUAUUACGAACAACACUAUGAAAACUUAGUGCUCGAAGGAGGAUUUAGUAGUAAAAAGGAAAUAGAGUGUCCUUUUGAACCCGGCUCUGAGGCGCGUACACACCGCCCGUCACUCUCCCCGCUAAUAGCAACGAAACGUUAUUGACACAUAAGCACAAACAAGGGGAGGCAAGUCGUAACAUGGUAAGUGUACCGGAAGGUGCACUUGGAUUAAAUCAGGACGUGGCUGAG